rnacentral:rRNA from 1 species
UACGGGGGGAGCAAGCGUUGUUCGGAUUUACUGGGCGUAAAGGGCGCGUAGGCGGUAGCACAAGUCAGUUGUGAAAUCUCCGGGCUUAACUCGGAAAGGUCAACUGAUACUGUGCGACUAGAGUGCAGAAGGGGCAACUGGAAUUCUCGGUGUAGCGGUGAAAUGCGUAGAUAUCGAGAGGAACACCUGCGGCGAAGGCGGGUCUCUGGGCUAUAACUGACGCUCAUGCACGAAAGCGUGGGGAGCAAACAGG